GGGGCUGUCCUGGUUUCGACGUGGGUUCGGAAUCGGUGUGGUGCAUGUCGAGCUUGAGUCACGCUCGUAAAUCUCGAUUUAAAAAACUAACUGCAAACGACGAACGUUUCGCACUCGCUGCUUAAUUGCCAGUGAGCCUUGCAACAGUUGGCCGAUGGGCUGGGCAAGGGGGUUCUGAGCAAUUACAUGGGCUGGCUCUGAUCCGGGUACCUUGGGUUGGAGCGAGAAAAUAGGGUGCUGGCGGCCUGUGUAGCGUGCGACUGCGCGACACAGGCGGCGAGACUCAAAUCAGAUCGCUAAACAUGUAGAUCUGCCCGAUGAAGGCUUGCGGACGCGGGUUCAAUUCCCGCCAGCUCCACCA
rnacentral:tmRNA from 1 species